GUGAUCAAGCGACGCCGCGUGCGGGAUGAAGGGCUUCGGCUUGUAAACCGCUUUUGCCUGGGAAGAAUGCCCGGAUCGUGAAUCCGGGAGCGACGGUACCAGGCGAAUAAGCCCCGGCUAACUCCGUGCCAGCAGCCGCGGUAAUACGGAGGGGGCAAGCGUUGUUCGGAAUUAUUGGGCGUAAAGAGCUCGUAGGCGGAUCGGAAAGUCUGACGUGAAAUCUCCACCACUCAACGGGGAGAGGUCGCUGGAAACUCCCGAUCUGGAGUUCGGCAGAGGGUCGUGGAAUUCCGCAUGUAGCGGUGGAAUGCGUAGAUAUGCGGAAGAACACCGGUGGCGAAGGCGGCGACCUGGGCCGAAACUGACGCUGAGGAGCGAAAGCUAGGGGAGCAAACGGGAUUAGAUACCCCGGUAGUCCUAGCCCUAAACGAU
rnacentral:rRNA from 1 species